rnacentral:rRNA from 1 species
GGCUGCUCCUAGUACGAGAGGACCGGAGUGGACGCAUCACUGGUGUUCGGGUUGUCAUGCCAAUGGCACUGCCCGGUAGCUAAAUGCGGAAGAGAUAAGUGCUGAAAGCAUCUAAGCACGAAACUUGCCCCGAGAUGAGUUCUCCCUGACUCCUUGAGAGUCCUGAAGGAACGUUGAAGACGACGACGUUGAUAGGCCGGGUGUGUAAGCGCAGCGAUGCGUUGAGCUAACCGGUACUAAUGAACCGUGAGGCUUAACCUUACAACGCCGAAGGUGUUU